GAUGCUUGCAUCCGCUGACGACCGGCGCACGGGUGCGUAACGCGUAUACAAUCUACCUUUUGCUGAGGAAUAGCCCAGAGAAAUUUGGAUUAAUGCCUCAUGGUAUGUUAGUAUGGCAUCAUACAAACAUUAAAGGUUACGGCAAAAGAUGAGUAUGCGUUCUAUUAGCUAGAUGGUGUGGUAACGGCACACCAUGGCAACGAUAGAUAGGGGCCCUGAGAGGGGGAUCCCCCACACUGGUACUGAGACACGGACCAGACUCCUACGGGAGGCAGCAGUGAGGAAUAUUGGGCAAUGGAGGCAACUCUGACCCAGCCAUGCCGCGUGCAGGAAGACUGCCCUAUGGGUUGUAAACUGCUUUUAUACAGGAAGAAACACCACUACGUGUAGUGGCUUGACGGUACUGUAAGAAUAAGGAUCGGCUAACUCCGUGCCAGCAGCCGCGGUAAUACGGAGGAUCCAAGCGUUAUCCGGAAUCAUUGGGUUUAAAGGGUCCGUAGGUGGAUAAUUAAGUCAGAGGUGAAAUCCUGCAGCUCAACUGUAGAAUUGCCUUUGAAACUGGUUAUCUUGAGUCAUUAUGAAGUGGUUAGAAUGUGUAGUGUAGCGGUGAAAUGCAUAGAUAUUACACAGAAUACCGAUUGCGAAGGCAGAUCACUAAUAAUGUACUGACACUGAUGGACGAAAGCGUGGGUAGCGAACAGGAUUAGAUACCCUGGUAGUCCACGCCGUAAACGAUGGUCACUAGCUGUGUGGAUUUUUAUCUGCGUGGCUAAGCGAAAGUGAUAAGUGACCCACCUGGGGAGUACGUUCGCAAGAAUGAAACUCAAAGGAAUUGA
rnacentral:rRNA from 1 species